rnacentral:rRNA from 1 species
CUGCUGCCUCCCGUAGGAGUCUGGACCGUGUCUCAGCUCCAGUGUGGGGGGCCUUCCUCUCAGAACCCCUACGCAUCGUCGCCACGGUGGGCCGUUACCCCGCCGUCAAGCUAAUGCGCCGCAUGCCCAGCCGCCACCGGAUUCCUCCUUUCGCCCGGUCCGGAUGCCCGGUCCGGGCGGCAUGGGGUAUUAGGCCGGGUUUCCCCGGGUUAUCCCCCUGUGGCGGGCAGGUUCCAUACGUGUUACUCACCCGUGCGCCGGUCGCCGGCAGGUGCAGG